CUUAUCUUGCCACCGGGUAGGAUAAAUUAAGGUGUUCAGGCAUAUUCCAUUAGGUCUUAGAAGGAAUUUUGUUGUGGACAUUUUUUU
rnacentral:ncRNA from 1 species